GCUGCGCCUAACAUUGUAUUUUUAGGAUCCAACUGAUGUCAGAAGAGAGGAGAGUUUCUUAGUGUAGAAAUCGUGCAACCCAAUUUUUGUCUACGUCUACCCCAAACUUAAACGCCAAUGGAUAAUUUUUCCUGGCAAUGAACGGUCCCGGUGAUCUGUUGCCAGAGGGUUUCAGGAGGAAUAUGGGCUGCGGUAUAUCUUGCAGUCGACUGCACUCAAGUGAAAUGGUUUCUUCCACCACUGCCACAUGGAUUACAAUAUCUUAAUACGUAAAGGCGUAUACUAAUUGUACAGCUAGUAUUUAAGUUUAAAUUAUAGUUUCGCAUAAAAAGUAAGUAGUUCAAUAUUAAUCAUGAAAUCCUAAUCACAGGCCACAAUAUUACAUACAAUUAAAUCAAGAAAUAUAUAAACACUAUGGAACAAUAUUACCUACAGACUUCUUUUCAAGAUUAUUUAUUAAGUGAAAAAUCAAUCAGGUUCCAUAGCACUCCCGUGCAACG